GACGGUGUGGCUUAAGUGGUAGAGCAUGUGCUUAGCAUGCAUGAGGUCCUGGGUUCAAUCCCCAGUACCUCCA
rnacentral:tRNA from 1 species